rnacentral:rRNA from 1 species
UACGUAGGGUGCGAGCGUUAAUCGGAAUUACUGGGCGUAAAGCGUGCGCAGGCGGUUUUGUAAGCCAGAUGUGAAAUCCCCGGGCUUAACCUGGGAAUGGCAUUUGGGACUGCAAGGCUGGAGUUUGGCAGAGGAGACUGGAAUUCCUGGUGUAGCAGUGAAAUGCGUAGAUAUCAGGAGGAAUACCGAUGGCGAAGGCAGGUCUCUGGGCAUUAACUGACGCUGAGGAGCGAAAGCAUGGGGAGCGAACAGG